CAUAAUAAUAUUUGUAUGGAAUGGGAUCGUUUGCGUACGUUCGUCGCUAGGGGCGCUGUUCCAACUGCAUACAAAAAUGGCUUA
rnacentral:pre_miRNA from 1 species